UACGUAGGGUGCGAGCGUUGUCCGGAAUUAUUGGGCGUAAAGAGCUCGUAGGCGGUUUGUCGCGUCGGCCGUGAAAACUUGGGGCUUAACCCCAAGCUUGCGGUCGAUACGGGCAGACUUGAGUUCGGCAGGGGAGACUGGAAUUCCUGGUGUAGCGGUGAAAUGCGCAGAUAUCAGGAAGAACACCCGUGGCGCAAGCGGCCACCUGGCCAAGAGCUGACGCUGAGGCACGAGAGCGUGGGGGGCGAACCGG
rnacentral:rRNA from 1 species